GAUUCUAUUCCCAAUUUCAAAUGUCACGUCAUGGAUGUUAUCCAUUUCAUCUGUUUCUUUCAACAGUUUGCCAAACUCUUCAAAAAAGGAUGAUGAAGAUACAUUUAAAAUUUCACAGAGACUUGUUUUAGGAUCUGAUUGUAGGAUAUCAAAAUUGGAUCCUCUUGAAUUUGUGUUGACACUAACGGCUCUAUGGGCAAAAUUUAUAAAUUAUUCCUGGAAUCAAGCACCAAGAGGGAGUGAAAAGGGCAUCUCCCCCUCCACACUUUCCGAUGCUUUUAAAUAUCCGUAAUUGCAGAGAUGCCCAUUUGCUCGAUGAAAGUGCUGGGGUGAUCUCCGUGCCGCAGCGGCGCAGGGCCUCGGCUCGGCGAAGGCAGCAGGAGAGACCGACAGACGCCGGCGGGGCUGGGCGCCAGGGUCCGCCCAGCUCUGGCCGCAACUGCAGCUACUGCCGCAACAUUGAGAAAACUCUUCAGAAAAUAUAAGGAAGAAUUACCUGUCUAAGGUGCUUAAGGGGAGGCAUCUGGCACAGGGGCAGGCUUCUCGAUUACUUUUUAAAUAAACCUUGAUACCUGCUGCAAGUAUCCUUGCCCAAUUUACUCUUCAAAAUUGUUUUGACUGUUCUUGACCCUUUUCUUCCUAUGAAUUUUAGGAUCAGCUUGUUAAGUUCCGCAAAAAUGUUUGAAGUUUUGAUCAGAAUUACUAAAUAUGUAACUAAAUUUGGGAGACCUGACAUCAGAAAAAAUGAAAAUUUCCCCAUCUGUAAAUAUGGAGUAUCUCCCCAACUAUUCCGGUGUUGUCUUAUGUCCUUCAAGACUUAUAUGAAGAAAAGUAUAAAACAUUGUUUUAUAUCUUAGCUUCAAUCUAUUCCUUGACUCCUUAUUGGUUUUGUAUAAUAGUAUCUUUUUUAAAUUGCUUUUUCUAAUUAUUUUUGAUGUAGAAGAACACUGUUGAUUGUUUUAUGCUGAGCUUCUCUCU
rnacentral:lncRNA from 1 species